UACGGAGGGUGCAAGCGUUAUCCGGAUUUACUGGGCUUAAAGGGUGCGUAGGCGGGCAGGUAAGUCCGUGGUGAAAUCUCUGAGCUUAACUCAGAAACUGCCAUGGAUACUAUUUGUCUUGAAUAUUGUGGAGGUAAGCGGAAUAUGUCAUGUAGCGGUGAAAUGCUUAGAUAUGACAUAGAACACCAAUUGCGAAGGCAGCUUACUACACAGUUAUUGACGCUGAGGCACGAAAGCGUGGGGAUCAAACAGG
rnacentral:rRNA from 1 species